rnacentral:SRP_RNA from 1 species
ACAGUGGAGUAAGCUACUCAGGAAGUUGAGACAGGAGGAUAGUGUGAGCCCAGGAAUUCUGGGCUGUUGUGAGCUAUGCUGAUUGGGUGUCUGCUCUAAGUUUUUCAUCAAUAUGGUAACCUCCUGGGAGUGGAGGACCAAAAGGUUGACUAAGGAGGGGUGAACUGACCAGGUCACAAAAGGAUCAGGUCAAAACUCCCAUGCUGAUCAGUAGUAGGAUUGCGCCUGUGAAUAGCUACUGCACUCCAGCCUGGGCAACAUAGCCAGACCCUGUCUCCU